ACAGUUGAUAUAGAAAUUACUGAGUCAGCUAUUCACAUAUUUUUAACCCUGCUGUAUUUGAAAGAAACAUGAGAGAUUCCAGGAUUUGAACAGGCGUCUCAUGCAGAAAAACAGCAGCUGGAGGCAGGAAACUACCUGUUCAUCAAAUCAGUACAACAAUGUGUCUUUUCCAAGAUCUUCACCUGAAAUUACACGUAGCGCUGUCUCCAUCUCUUCAAGAAGCAGUUGUCACUGAUGUCUUUAUCUUAAAAAUAGCAACGAAUUUACAAAUAGAUUCUGUAAUUUAGAAUUGAAUUCUUUUUUAUCUUUUUUUUAAAGGUAUGAUUGGUACUGGGAGUAUAACCCCACGGUAGAGCACUUGCAUACACAUGCAAUGAGGUACAAACUCAGCCCAGCAAAAUAAAUAAAUAGAACUUUAAAAUACGUCUGCUCUGAAAAGGCUGUCCACAAGAUCACCCCUGUUAGAGUUUAAAAGGCAAAGGCCUUGUAGGUUGUUUCGGGGUUUUGUUUGUUUGUUUGUUUUUAUUUUUGUUGGAUAUUUUAUUUAUUUACAUUUCAAAUGUUAUCCCUUUUCCCGAUUUCCCCUCUGCAAACCCCCUAUCCCACCCACUCUCACUUCACCAGCCUGGCAUUCGCCCGACUUUGGGGCAUCAGACCUUCACAGGCCAAGGGCCAGGUUGUUUUGAUUAUUUGUUUUGUUUUGCUUCCUACCAGUAAUUCCCCUGUCGUUGGACUGACUCCCUGAAAGUCCUGGUCAGGCCUGCUUACACAAUACUUGUGGGUGAAUCAACCUUACCAUCUUUCUUCAAACUGACCAACCCUAAAUUAGUGGAGAAAAACUCUUCCAGGAUAAAUAAACAACAACAACAACAACAAAAAAGGCCUUAAAAGGUGACUGGAAUUUUUGGCUCCCCAAGGCCCGCUCUGCUCUGGAGAAGGAGGGUCCUUUUCUCUGUGUGUCUGUUUCAAACCCAUAGUUCUUAACCCCAAUAAAUGUCUUUCUUCA